rnacentral:rRNA from 1 species
UACGUAGGGUGCGAGCGUUGUCCGGAAUUAUUGGGCGUAAAGAGCUCGUAGGCGGUGCGUCACGUCGGCCGUGAAAACCUGCAGCUUAACUGUGGGCGUGCGGUCGAUACGGGCAGACUUGAGUUCGGUAGGGGAGACUGGAAUUCCUGGUGUAGCGGUGAAAUGCGCAGAUAUCAGGAGGAACACCGGUGGCGAAGGCGGGUCUCUGGGCCGAUACUGACGCUGAGGAGCGAAAGCGUGGGGAGCGAACAGG